UACAGAGGGUGCGAGCGUUGUCCGGAAUCACUGGGCGUAAAGGGCGCGUAGGCGGUCUCUUAAGCGUGUGGUGAAAGCCCGGGGCUCAACUCCGGGUCGGCCGUGCGAACUGGGGGACUGGAGCUUGUCAGAGGCAGGCGGAAUUCCGGGUGUAGCGGUGGAAUGCGUAGAGAUCCGGAAGAACACCGGUGGCGAAGGCGGCCUGCUGGGACAGUGCUGACGCUGAGGCGCGAAGGCGUGGGGAGCAAACAGG
rnacentral:rRNA from 1 species